rnacentral:rRNA from 1 species
CAUACGGGUUGAAGCAUGACCGUAAGGACAUGUGGACAGUAUGGGAGUGAGAAUGUUGGCAUGAGUAGCGAGAUGUGGGUGAGAAUCCCACAGGCCGUAAACCCAAGGUUUCCAGGGGAAGGUUCGUCCGCCCUGGGUUAGUCGGGACCUAAGCUGAGGCCGAAAGGCGUAGGUGAUGGACAACAGGUUGAUAUUCCUGUACUACCGAUAACCGUUUGAGAGAAGGGAUGACACAGUAGGAUAAGCUAAGCACACUGUUGGUUAUGUGUGCCCAAGCAUUGAGGCAGUCAAAGUAGGCAAAUCCGCUUUGAUAAUGCUGGGAUGUGAUGGGGAGCGAAAUUUAGUAGCGAAGUAGCUGAUUUCACACUGUCAAGAAAAGUCUCUAUCGAGGUUAAAGGUACCCGUACCGCAAACCGACACAGGUGGGUGAGGAGAGUAUCCUAAGGCCAGCGAGAGAACUGUUGUUAAGGAACUCGGCAAAAUGACCCCGUAACUUAGGGAUAAGGGGUGCCACCAUCAGGUGGCCGCAGAGAAUAGGCCCAAGCGACUGUUUACCAAAAACAUAGGUUUCUGCUAAGUCGCAAGACGAUGUAUAGGAGCUGACGCCUGCCCGGUGCUGGAA